UAGGGACACCACUUGAAGAAGAAUAGUAAGUACCUGUGGUUUCUUCUUUUUCAAGUAGAUGCAACCAUGUAUUCCACAUAGGUGAUGCACAAGCAGUACCCUCCCCAGGAAGCAGGGCGUAGAGUCUAACUAACCAAGGAUUGCAGGACCAUCCUACCAAAAUUUGCAUCUGCUCUGGAAGAUAUAAUAAUGGCAUAGUGGUUCGUAAUGUAUGGAUGGAUGGCUACAUAGCAGCCCUGCAAAUGUUCAAUAUUGAGACGCCACUGAAGAACGCUAUUGACAGUGCUUGCAUUCUCAUAGAAUGAGCUCACACUUGAUGAGGUGUAGCCAAAGUGAUUUCAUAUACAGUCUUGAUACAGAAUGCUAUCCAUUUAGAGAUCUGAGAAGAGAUCACUUGUGCCUUCAUGCGAUCUGCAAAUGACAAAAAAAGGCAAGGCAAAGCAUGCAACAGUUUAAUCCUGUCCAGAUAAAAGGCUAGACAGCACCAGCACUGCCUCAACCAUGCCAGGGCAAUGAAUGAGCUCAACCCAAUCCACCUUCAGCUUGACCAACAACCUGUGGGAUGAUAGGGUUUGGGGGGAAAGCAUACAGGACAGCCAACUGCCAGCUAAAGUGGAAAGUGACAGACAGGAAACCGAGACUGAGGCCCCCCUUGAGAGCAGAACGGAUGACAUUUCUUGCUGUUCCUUGGAACAAACAGGUUGACCGUCGAAAUGCCCCAAGAUGCCCCAGAAGACACUUGGCUUCAGGGACCACUUAUGACAAGAGAAAGUUCCUGCUGAGAUGGUCCAUAAGAUGAUUCUGUACCCCAAGCAAGUGAUCAGUUACCAGACUGAUACUUUCCUCGAUGUAGAACUGUCACAACCUGAUUGCCUCUUGGCAGAGCACUCUCUAGUAUGCUCUCCUUUGCCUGUUCAUAAUGCAUCAUGGUGAUAUUGAUGGUAAGUAUGUGAACCACUGAGCCCAAUAUGGUCCAGAGAAAUGUGACAGGCAUUGUGGAUGCCCUGAAGCUCCAGCAUGUUGAUAUGCAGUGAGGCCUCCUGUUCCAACUAUGACCCUGAACUUUCAGAAACCCCAGAUGUGCUCUCCAGCUCAUCAAGGAGGCAUUAGUGACAACAGACCUGGUUGGUAAGGGCUGGAUGAAAAUAGGUGUCCUGAAGGCCCAGAACAGCAGAACAGUCAUUCUGAGGCAAUGUUGAGAGGACAGUCAGAAUCUCAUGUAUCUCAUAUAUUUGUUGAGGCCGUGAAGAUCAAAAAUUGGUCUUGUACUUCCCUUGGAUUUGGACACCAGAAAAUACCAGGAAUGGAAGCUGUGACCCUGGUGUUCCAGCAGAACCUCCUCCACUGCUCCCAAAGCCAGUAGAAAGUAGAUCUGCUUGAAGAGUAGUAUCUCAUGAGAGGGGUCCCUGAAGACGGACAGGGAGGGAAGGAAAGGAACCUGAUGGUAUAGCCCAAUCUCAUGGUGUUUAGGACCUAGCUAUCUGUGGAGAAUGAGCCCCAAGCACUGUGAAAGCAAGCAAGCUAGCCUGUCCCCAAACGGAGGGGAUGGGGAAAAAUGGAGCCACGACUAGACCAUUACUCUGGAUCAGGGAGUCAAAAUGGGCACUUGGGGAGUGCCGGGGGAGGGGGGGGGAAGCAGGUCAACUGGCCAAACCCUGUACCCAAAUGCCUCUUCAGCUGGGACCUAUGCAUCUUUCUGGGAUAGUCCCAUUGUCUUGAGGGAGGGAAAGGCUGCCCAAAUACCAUAAUUCUGCUGCUGACCACUAUAUAGUGGCAUCUCUGCACUCCUGGCAUGGACACAUCUAAGGACUGUAGGGUAACCCUAGAAUCCCUGAAGGAAUGCAGAGUCCUAUCUAUCUUGUCCAAAAAAGAAUUCAGACAUCAAAGGGCAAAUACUAUCUAUUUUGCUGCACAUCAGGAGCAAUGCUCAAAUUCUGCAGCCAGGAUGCCCUUCUCUUGGUCACUGCUGAGGCCAUCAUUCUGGCUGAAGUAUACACGAUGUCCAGCAUAGACCGCAAUGACGUUAGCCACCAAGCAGCCAUUGGCGAUAGACUUCCGAUAUUCCUCCCUCAAGGCUUUGGACAGCUGGUCUGCAAAGUUAGACACUGCUGUCCAGUUCAAAAAGUUGUAUUUGGAUAGUAAUGCCUGGUUAUUUACAAUCUGCAUCUGAAAAGAGGUGGUGGUGUACAUCUUCUUAUCAGGUCCAUCUGUUUAGAGGCUUUAUACUUAGGAGUGGAUUUAAAUUUUCACUGCUGGGCUCUAUUGUUCACCAUUGUUACAGUCAGGGAAUCUGGGGUUGGGUGCAACAGAACGAAGUAGUGUUUCUCCAACUGCUUCUCAGUAGAUGGUACUGAAGCCAGCAUGCUCCAGAGAACCUUAGCAGGCUCUAGGAGCAUAUUGUUAAUAGGGAGGAUGACUCUCCCGGGACAGAUGGCUGCACGAUAUCCAAUAACGUACGGGUAUUCUCCUGCAGAAACGCCACUUGAAUACUCAGGGAAGCAGUCACAUGCUGCAAAUGGUCUUGAAAUCCUCCUAUACUGAAGGAGAGGAAGAGCCAGGCAUUGCAGAAUUGUCUAGGGAUGAAGACAAAGCUGUUAACUAUGCCAGAGCUGGAUCCUGGUCCAGAACUGACAGAUCUGGACAGGAAGACUCUGAAGACUCGACGAGGGAAGGUUCAGCAGUGCCUGGGCCUGCAGCAAAUUGACAGACACAGGCCUGCUCAGAGAGCUCACCUUAGAGCAAGAUGAGGAGUGCGACUUCCACAACCAAGGAGUCCCUGGAUGCCAUGGAGAUCACUAGUAUGGAUAGGGCAUUAGUGGUCAUUCGGCACUGGUCCAGGGAAAUGCUAGAUGACUGUUAAUGCUGGUACUCACAGAGCUCCAUGAAUAGCCCUCAAUGUGGGUCAGGUGACGGAGAGCAGGAGGAGGAAGAUCCCAACCUGGACACCAAGGAAUCCGAUGCUUCAGAGAAUAAAGGGUGGAGCCAGCCCUGAGGGUAUAAGCAACUGGUCUGCCUCAUCCAUAGCCUAGAACGGAGAGAUCUGGCACUGAUGGUGUAACUGUAACUCCCGGCACCAAGUACACAUUCAUUGUUUCUGGUGCCAGAAGCAGUUGACCCCGAAAUCAGCAGUGGUACUGACGUGACUUGAUGUCAAAAUGGAGGGUGGUGAAUGCUGUCACAGUAACAUCAGCAGCACGAACAGCAAGGUGCUUGAGGAAGUUCCCGGUGCUAAGGUGGUCCUUUGGGCCUGACAACGGCACCACUUUCACUGACUGGAAAGGAAACAUUGGUGUGCAGUGCUGACAGACCCACUGGUUCAACAGUCCACCAGACACUGGCGCUACAAACGACACCGCCCUGGAAAACUCCUGGACUCAGGGAGGGGUCAGGACAUAAAAGCAGAGUACCAUUGCUUCCUGAUACACCGCUAGCACAGAAACAGCCAGUGCUAGCAUAGCCCUCUUUGGUACUGGACUCAACGGACACCCUAGGGCCGGAAACAGAAUUGACGAAAUGGGGGGGGUGUCAAGGCAGCACCACCUCAUAUAGCCAGAGGAGGGUAUACGAGCAUCACCUCUUACAGGUACU